UACGGGGGGGGCAAGCGUUGUUCGGAAUUACUGGGCGUAAAGGGUGCGUAGGCGGCGCGGUAAGUCGGGUGUGAAAUCUCGGAGCUUAACUCCGAAACUGCAUUCGAUACUGCCGUGCUUGAGGACUGGAGAGGAGACUGGAAUUUACGGUGUAGCGGUGAAAUGCGUAGAUAUCGUAAGGAAGACCAGUGGCGAAGGCGGGUCUCUGGACAGUUCCUGACGCUGAUGCACGAAGGCCAGGGGAGCAAACGGG
rnacentral:rRNA from 1 species